GAGGCUGUACUUUCAGGGAUCAUUUCUAUAGUUCGUUACUAGAGAAGGUUCUCUGAACAUAUAGAAUAUCCAAAAAACAAAACCAAAAACAUUGUU
rnacentral:snoRNA from 1 species